UCUUAUAUCCAAUGGAACUAGCAUCCUCUUUUCUUUCCUCAAAAAUUUUUAUUGGGGGGAAAUUUCAAAAAAUACAAAAAGAGAGAGAGAAGCCCUAGGUAUCCGUCACCCAGCUUCAACAAUUAUUGUGGUGGCCAGCACAUCCUCAACCACCCUGUUUCACAAGAAAACACUAAAGCUGAUUUGUAUAGAGGAAGACUUGCUGCUCUCUGUUUCGGAGAGCACAGCAUGGCAACACGAGUUAACUGACUGAGAAGCACUCUGGGGCGGGGCCCCCUGCUUCUGAAGCAUCUUUAUACUGCUAUGGCCUCACUCACCAUCUGUGACAUGAUUGGAGCUCGCAGGAUGGAUGCCUGUAACUAAGUGAAUGAAGAUCCUGAGUGCUGAAACAUUUCUGAACUUCCCAGGCACCUGUGAGCCAUGCUGGCAUGAAGCAUUAAUGGGUCUCAUUUCCCUUCUGGUGGGUGCACCUGAGGGAACCCUGCAUGGCAGCUGGUUGUAGAAGAAGCCAAACCAGAAGCUGACAGCAAAUCAUAAAGCCCCUGGGAUUGUGUCCUAUUUAAAUAGAUCACCUUGUUUCCAAACAUUCAUUUAUUUCCCUUUUGAUUCUUUCUUCUCCGUUUGCAAGCCUGUAUUUCCAGCUUCACAGUUUUCUAGCGUUUACCAUGUGUUAGACACUGUGCUAGCCACCUUUGGCACUGCAUCCUCUAACAAGCAAAGCUGCCUGUAAGCCAUUCUACCCCUCUUCUUACCAUUGCAUGGCCUCCCUCCGCCCCAUUGGCUGCCAGCUCAGCAUUCACCUCUUGGCCUUGCUCACUGUGUUGCCCCCUGCAUCUCUUCUA